UUCUGGACUUCUCAGAAGUACUUCUGAGAAGCAAAUAAGUUGAUAAGUUGCGUUUGGAAACUACACAAUGUAGUGAACAUAUUUUUGUUCUUCCUUAACAGCAAGAUAUUUUGGUUGUUUUACAAAGUUGUUCGUCGAAAUUAAAAGAAAAUGUUUAUUUGAUCCAUCAAAACAUUAUCAGUGAGGAACGAAUCAAUGGUUAUACAAAUCAUAGCAUCAGUGAGGAACGAAUCAAUGGUUAUAAAAAUCAUACAUUAAGAAGAAGAUGAGAACAUAAGAACUGUGAAGCACAAAGAUUACAUCUUUGAUGAGAAAAUAAGAAUUAAGAAGUAUGGGCACAAAAAUUGCAUCUUCAACGUGAACAAAAGAAAUGAAUCACGGCAAGAAGCUUCGUACUGUCGCAACAGAUCAUCAAGCGCAGAACUUGAGACAUACGUUGGCAUUGGCAGAAAACCGACGGCGUUGGAAGCACAAGCGCUGGCGUUCAAAGCAUAAAUACGGCGCUCGAACAUAGAACGCUGGUGUUUGUAGCAAAAACGCCAACGGUUUAUUGUUGGUGAAAUGGCUGAAAAGGCGAUCAAACUUUUUUGCGAUGCAAAACUUGAA